rnacentral:snRNA from 1 species
AGAGAAUGGUGUGAACCCAGGAACCUGGGAGGCGGAGCUUGCAGUGAGCUGAGAUUGUGCCACUGUACUCCAGCCUGGGUGACAGAG